UACAGAGGGUGCGAGCGUUGUCCGGAAUCACUGGGCGUAAAGGGCGCGUAGGUGGUGGCUUAAGCGUGCGGUGAAAGCUCGGGGCUCAACUCCGAGUCGGCCGUGCGAACUGGGCUCACUGGAGCAUAGUAGAGGCAGGUGGAAUUCCGGGUGUAGCGGUGGAAUGCGUAGAGAUCCGGAAGAACACCGGUGGCGAAGGCGGUUCUCUGGGCCUUACCUGACGCUGAGAAGCGAAAGCAUGGGGAGCGAACAGG
rnacentral:rRNA from 1 species